rnacentral:lncRNA from 1 species
AUAAGGCUUCUUAGGUACUGGUAAAAAUCACGAAAUAUGAUACACAUUUCUGAAAAUCAGAUACUGGCUUAUAUGCUACAAAAGCACAAAUUUUCAUAAAACAAGGCUUUUAUAAAAGGAAAAUAAACUUCACCUAUAAGUUUAUUGGAGUUUCUCACCUAUAAGAACCGCUAAAUUAAAAGCAACAAAUUUUCAAAAGGAAAUAAUUACCUACAUUUCACCAAUGUAUUUUUUCAGAUAAGAAAUCACCUUCUGCUUUUUCCUUAAUGGGAAAAUAAUUAUUUUAAUACUAAUAAAUACUUUAAAAUUUCAAAUUUACCUACCAAUGGCCACUACAAUGAGGUCACCAUUUCAACACAAAUGAGGAAACAGACAAGUUCAGACCUCCACAGUAAAGAAGUUUAACUCAGGAGUUCCCACUGUGGCUUGGUAGAAAUGAAUCUGACUACUAUCCAAAGGGUUUGAUCCCUGGCCUCACUUAGUGGGUUGGCGAUGUGGUGUUGCCUUAAGCUGUGGUGUAUUAGUAACUAGUUACUUCGAUAACCACUUUUAUGGCUAAUUUAUUGUUUUUUCCACUGCUUGUUAUAAUUACAUCAUAUUUUUACAGAAAGUAAAAAAGAUCCUAGCCUUUCUAAUAAUAAUGGAAUCAAAGUUUCUAGAUACUAAGUAAUAGCUUGUUCUGAUUCCCUACCAGGAAGACAAUCCUACAGAUGCAAAAAAGUCAAGUGUUUACUAAUUAAAUUAUGCUUUAACCACAAUAGGGAGAGUCAGCUAUUUUAUACAAUGAAAAAAUUCACUGACUAGGUAGGUUCCUGUAUUUCAUCAUUCUCAAAAGUUUUAAUUUUUCCUUGAUAAAGGGUUCCUGAAUGAAGAUGGACUAUUUUUGAGCAGGGAAUACCUGAAUAGACAAGACAGAAUAGAGAAAAGUUUUUAAAAGUUUAUUUCACUUCUCCUCCAACUCCACCCCUCAAACCCAAAAAGAGAUACAAAGGAAAUAAGGGAGAACUGGAUAGUUCUAAUAUUGCCAUCUUCUCUCCUUGCGCCCAAUUUACCCUCAGCUUCACCAGCUCUCCUGCACAUGGAAAACAAGAAACAUACAAAGUUCAGUAAAAACCUAAAACCCAAGAAUCACAAAAUGUUAAGAAUUGGAAGGAACCUCCCGGGAUCAUCCGUCCUUACAGAUGAGGUCACUUAAAGGCAGUGCUACGUCUAAUUGAUAAAUCAGUUGCGCACCUUCACACACCGAAGAAAACCAUCAUUGUCAAUCAAUUCCUGAUUCCACUUUAUCCACUUGCUAAUUGAAAUGCUUGGGACAAAUCAUUUAACCUCUUGAGCUAGUCUGUUCUGUAAUACAAUAGCAAAUGAGAAAAGCUGGUCAAAAAUCUCUGUAAGCUAUAAACCACAACACACGACUAAGGAGAUAGCUUCUGUAGAUGUACACACAAUAUGUCUCUACAAGCAGAGCUUCUUAUUGGUAAAUGAAAGCAUUUAAAGAUUCAAUUGUUCUAUUUAUUUAUUUAUUUUUUGUCUUUUUGCCAUUUCUUGAGCCGCUCCCGCGGCAUAUGGAGGUUCCCAGGCUAGGGGUCGAAUCGGAGCUGUAGCCACCGGCCUAUGCCAGAGCCACAGCAACUCGGGAUCCGAGCCGCGUCUGCGACCUAGAUUCAAUUGUUUUAAAAGGCCCCUACCAUGAAGCACAAACAUAUACGGAAAUUUUUCAAGUCACAGAUUUCAUCAAGUUUCACCCAGAAUUACUAUUCCCCCAAAGGCUCAGAAGUACUACUGUAAAGUAACACACAUAUGCUGAAAAUAAAGCUUCUUGGAUGUUGCUCAAAAAGACUAUACUCCCAACCAAUGACUAUACUCCCUACCUACCUAACAAGUCUGUGAAGGCAGAAACUGUCAUCAUUCUCAUCUUUAUAUUCCCCCCAAUACAUCACAGUCAUGCAGCAUCUUAGUUAUUUUUACCGCCUUCAUUCUCUCUCUCAUCAUCAAACUCUGUAUACUCUAUCCUCCUCCUUUCCAUUCCUAUUAUUACUGCCACAGUUCAGACCCCCCACAGCUAUGACCACAGCAAUCAAGAAGUCUUUCUACCUCCAGGUUCUCUCUACUUCAAAUCAUACUACACACUGCUGCCAGAUCAGUCCUCAUUCCCAACUCAAAAAUCAUCUGUAAAACCCCCACUGCUUACUACAGUCAAGGUCAAAAGUCUGGCAUUAAUAGAAAUCCAUAAACUGGUCCAAAUUUUUGCUUCAAGCUUUAUCACCCGUUACACUGAUACAAACUCGUCAUACAAAAAAUACUUGCCUCUCCUCAAAUGUAUGAAGUCUGUGCUCUCUUAGUCCCUCCUUUCUGCCUGGAUUACCUUUCCUAGCCAAUCAAGUCUAAAGUCACCCUUCAAAACAAAGAUUUUAGGAACCAGAAGCGCUAUGAGAUAACCCUAAUCCCACCCCGCUGAGUGAGAUGUGAGGUCUAUCCUCUCUGAAGCUGAAUUCCAUAUGAAACACAGCUAUAUACUAAAAGACAAAUGAGGCAUUUGUGUAUAGUCCUACCUGCCUAACGAGUCUGUGAAGGCAGAAACUGUCAUCAUCCUCAUCUUUAUAUUCCCAAUACAUCACAGUCAUGCAGUAGAUGCUUAAUAACCGUGUAAGAAAGCAGAAGAAAUUUCAGCCUUCGGAAGGUAGGCAGAUUACUAUCUCUUGAGGGCAGAGACCUUAUAUGCAACAUCCUCUAUCGUGGCAAGCUUCCAAAAAACAUAACCCUUAGUUACCGCUUUUCAAAGCCCUAUGUUGUAGGUCAUAUAAAGAGUUUUGCAUUUAAAAAUGUUAAUAAACUACAUCAGAACUGCUCCCCCAUAUACUUUACACUUCUCAAUUUGAAGAGCUCCCACCACUUG